UGGGGAAUAUUGCACAAUGGGGGAAACCCUGAUGCAGCGACGCCGCGUGAGCGAAGAAGGCUUUCGAGUCGUAAAGCUCUGUCCUAUGAGAAGAUAAUGACGGUAUCAUAGGAGGAAGCCCUGGCUAAAUACGUGCCAGCAGCCGCGGUAAUACGUACGGGGCGAGCGUUGUCCGGCAUUAUUGGGCGUCAAGGGUACGUAGGCGGUUUUUUAAGUCAGGUGUCAAAGCGUGGAGCUUAACUCCAUUAAGCACUUGAAACUGAAAGACUUGAGUGAAGGAGAGGAAAGUGGAAUUCCUAGUGUAGCGGUGAAAUGCGUAGAUAUUAGGAGGAAUACCGGUGGCGAAGGCGACUUUCUGGACUUUUACUGACGCUAAGGUACGAAAGCGUGGGGAGCAAACAGG
rnacentral:rRNA from 1 species